rnacentral:lncRNA from 1 species
GAGGAAGCAGGAGGGGGCUUUGGGAGAAGCUCAUACUGUAAAUUGAUUUAAACUGCUGUUUUAGGAUCUUUGAGGUAGGGACUCAACAAGCUCCUACAGUGCUCUUGCCAUCUUUGAAUGCAAGCACUUUAGGCUAUUUUAAGCCUCUGCAAAAGGAAUAACAGAGCAGCAUGUAAAAUUUUCUCAGCUGACGCUCAGGGGAGAGGAAGCUGCAAGUAAGGAAGAAAUAGCCUUUGAAAAUUCCUGCCUCCUCCACUUCGAGCCUCCACCUCCGGGGUUGAAUUGCAUGACCCACUGUGCUCCUCGCAUAGCUGUGGAAAGACCCCUGAGACUCCAGCUGCACGGUUGCCUUGCAAAGCCAGGAAAUGGGUCUGUAGGACAUCUCUAUGAGCAAAAAGAGGACUGCGAAACCAUUCCAGAAGGAUUCCUGUCAGUGCCAGAGAGGGAGAGAGAUAUUGCAGGUUGGCCAAAAUGGUGGGGAGGAGAAGGAGGAGGAGGAAAAGAAAGCUGGUAAGUGUCCAGGAUUUGCCUGUGGCUCUGCUAUCCAAAGUAAGAAGUAUUCUGAUAUUGUCUUUUUGCCCUGUGUUGUCCUGUGCCUUUUUU